AUGGAGAAACUCAGUGUUGCCUUGCCCCGAGCAGAGAUGGACCAGAAGAGAAUUGAUCCUCAGAGCUGUGUCACCACUCAGAUGAGUAAACCAGACUGCCGAAGACCUGGUGAUUUGCUUGAGGGAGCAUGGCUGCCAAAGGACCAUUGCUCCAGACAAGGAUGCAAGUGGUUGGUUCUGAGGGGAAAGAGCCUCUGUUGGAUAUGACAUCUUGGGGUGGGAAGCCACUCUGUCCCCCCUGAGAGGACAUCAGCAUCCCAUUCUUGGAAAGCUGGAGAGAGAGAGCCCAAAGGAAUCAACCAGCCAUACCAGGCAGCUGCAGAAAGCUCCAGGGAGCCACUCACAUACAGUACUGAGGCACACAGUCUUAGGACUCACAUAGACGUGAGGUUGACUCUCCAGCUGCUGACCUUGGGUGAGUCUUUUUCAACACCUCAUUUUCCUCAUCUGAAAAAUGGGGCUUCUCUCUGCAGCUCCUGGUCUUCUGUGCCCACUCACCAUGAAUGAAGAUGUGUG
rnacentral:lncRNA from 1 species